AAUUCUUGCUCGGACUCUAACCGAGACCAAUGAUUUGAAGAACCAGUGUUGUAGUUCAACUACAAGAAU
rnacentral:tRNA from 1 species